rnacentral:rRNA from 1 species
CCUACGGGUGGCAGCAGUCGAGAAUCAUUCACAAUGGGGGAAACCCUGAUGGUGCGACGCCGCGUGGGGGAAUGAAGGUCUUCGGAUUGUAAACCCCUGUCAUGUGGGAGCAAAUUAAAAAGAUAGUACCACAAGAGGAAGAGACGGCUAACUCUGUGUCAGCAGCCGCGGUACUACAGAGGUCUCAAGCGUUGUUCGGAAUCACGGGGCGUAAAGCGUGCGUAGGCUGUUUCGUAAGUCGUGUGUGAAAGGCGCGGGCUCAACCCGCGGACGGCGCAUGAUACUGCGAGACUAGAGUAAUGAGGGGGGAACCGGAAGUCUCGGUGUAGCAGUGAAAUGCGUAGAUAUCGAGAGGAACACUCGUGGCGAGGGCGGGUUCCUGGACAUUAACUGACGCUGAGGCACGAAGGCCAGGUGAGCGAAAGGGAUUAGAUACCCGGGUAGU